rnacentral:piRNA from 1 species
UCCUAUAGGAAGAGGAAGACAGAGCUCUU